GCAGGGGUAGCGAAGCUUGGUCAAACGCGCAGGACUCAGAAUCCUGUCUCUAAGGAGUUCGGGGGUUCAAAUCCCCUCCCCUGCA
rnacentral:tRNA from 1 species